UCUCCGACAGAUGUGAAAGACUUUCGCGAACUAAGUGACGCCAUAGCUAAUUUGGGUGCAUCUUUAGGAUCGUCUUUAAGUGCAACAUUAAGCCAGUCAUGGGCCAAUAUUCGUGAACAAAAACAGUGAUUUUAAUUAUUGUUUUUAUGUGUGAAAUACUGAAUAUAGAGACAGUUGUGUUGAUAAUAUUAUUGAUGUAGCAGUUUAUAUACAUUGCUGGGAACAGUUGUGUUGAAAAUCAUAUUUUGAUGUAGUAGUUUAUAUUUACAUUGCUGGGGACAGCAAUGUCAAAGGGGGGAGAUAUGUAAGAGGGUGGAAUUUGAAUGAUUAUUUUAUUUUGAUAUUUAUUGAACGUUUAUAUAAAAAGAAAAGUGUCUGUGGUUUUGGGGGAUUGAACCGGGUGCCUUUGGUGUGUGGGCUUGUGACUUAUACCACUAGGCUAAGUCAGAUUUAUAUUUAUAGCAUAUCUUUAUUAUCGAAAGUACAUUUAGGUUUUUGGUUAAUUAUUUUGUGAUGUCAUAGAAAGAAUAGCAUUCUGGGUAAUUCUUGCCUAGCUCAUUUUCAUUGUCCAAGAGAAAGGCAAAGAGAGAAGUCAAGAAAUUUAACAUUCACAGUGUGUCCUUGCUUAGGAUCUGUCAACAUUUAUGUAUAUCAGGAAAUAAAGAACCUCAACACAAUA